UACGUAUUGGUGUAGUUAAGAUAGGGUUUUGAUUGCGAGUAUAUGUGGUUAUAUCAAUAUUUGAUCCAGUAUGGUAUGGUUGAAUUAAGUUAGGGAUUCGAUUGAUAGUAUAUAUGGUUAUAUCAAUAUUGGUUAUAUACUAAUUUUGUUAAAGGCUGUUAUUUGUGCAGUUGUUCAAGGGGUGAAGAGUAUUACGUUACCUGUGAAGUCGACUGUGAAGAAGGCAACGGCGACGAAGGGAAAGAAGUUACGAGAUCUCCUCUUUUUAUUUUUUUAGAGUUAGAAAGGACAAAAUCUCAUGUAUAACGUUUUUUUGUUAUAUGUUUAUUUUUUGUCACAUGUAUUACGUUUUUUUGUGUGUAUUAUUGUUACUAGAAGCAAGUCAUUGAGGCCGCUGCGCGGACCAAUUCAAUAAAGUGAAAAUAUAAUGUUAUAUGA